CUUUUUCUUGCUGCCGUCUGUGGAACAAUUGCUGAACUAUUGAAAACUGCACACCAAGGGCCUCAAUAGGAAAAAGAUGCCUCCCUGGUCGACCUUCCUGGAAAGUAUGCAUAUCAUUACUGCUUAGAUUUUGUUGGAGAGAAAUCACACUACCAUCAAAGACAACGGGUCAAAAAGAAUGCCGUCCUAAGCUGAGAAGCCAUCUUCCUAACGACAGCCAUGUAAUAUGAAAGGGAAAAACACACUGUUAUUGAAGAACUUAUCAGCUAUGUCACAUCUUCCACACAAAUACUCAGGAAAGUUAAAAGAAAAUUUUACCUCGGACACAGUUGAUGUACCUCAGUCUUGUACAAAACUUAGAACUCACUAAGUCUGAAAUAAGACUUUAAACUCUCUCUGAGGUGAAGUUGUAAUACAGUGAGAAUGAUAAUAUAUAGUAUAUUAGGAUUUACUUACUCCUGUGUUGUUCUGGACUAUAGACUGCCACACAUAUCAGAUGCACAUGACUGACAUGUAUAUCUUCAUUUUGCUAUUAUUUGUG
rnacentral:lncRNA from 1 species